rnacentral:rRNA from 1 species
AGUGAACGCUGGCGGUAGGCCUAACACAUGCAAGUCGAACGGCAGCACAGUAAGAGCUUGCUCUUACGGGUGGCGAGUGGCGGACGGGUGAGGAAUACAUCGGCAUCUACUUUUUCGUGGGGGAUAACGUAGGGAAACUGACGCUAAUACCGCAUACGACCUACGGGUGAAAUCAGGGGAUCUUCGGACCUUUCGCGAUUGAAUGAGCCGAUGUCGGAUUAGCUAGUUGGCGGGGUAAGGGCCCACCAAGGCGACGAUCCGUAGCUGGUCUGAGAGGAUGAUCAGCCACACUGGAACUGAGACACGGUCCAGACUCCUACGGGAGGCAGCAGUGGGGAAUAUUGGACAAUGGGCGAAAGCCUGAUCCAGCCAUACCGCGUGGGUGAAGAAGGUCUUCGGGUUGUAAAGCCCUUUUGUUGGGAAAGAACAGCAGCAGGUUAAUCCCCCGCUGUUCUGACGGUACCCAAAGAAUAAGCACCGGCUAACUUCGUG